rnacentral:rRNA from 1 species
UACGAAGGGGGCUAGCGUUGCUCGGAAUCACUGGGCGUAAAGCGCACGUAGGCGGCUCGUUAAGUCAGGGGUGAAAUCCUGGAGCUCAACUCCAGAACUGCCUUUGAUACUGGCGACCUUGAGUUCGGGAGAGGUGAGUGGAACUGCGAGUGUAGAGGUGAAAUUCGUAGAUAUUCGCAAGAACACCAGUGGCGAAGGCGGCUCACUGGCCCGGUACUGACGCUGAGGUGCGAAAGCGUGGGGAGCAAACAGG